rnacentral:sRNA from 1 species
ACUCAUCAUCGUGCUUGUAUUUUAAGUCGUCAACGUAACGGGCUUUCACAAUAAACUAGGAUUUAACCCGCGGUUUACCGCGGGCAAUCGGUUUAUUUGGUUCUUAUACUAAAUAUUUGAAUGAAUUUGAUAUCUUA